rnacentral:lncRNA from 1 species
CCUAGUGAAGAGUCCAGAUGUAGACUUAAAGAGCUCUGGAAUCUCCUCCAAGGGUUCAGCCAGAAGCCAUCUGACUGGCUAUGACCAGUAUUGGGGACUUUAUUCUUCCAAAGGCAGUCUAUCCAAUUUUUGGACCACUCUGAUGGUGUCAGAGGCCUUCUGUAGAUUGAGCUCAAAUAACUCACUUCUAGUUGUCUUAGGUCAACAAUGUGUGGCCACAGAGAUUAAGUCAAACUCCUCUUCAUCUCUGUGCUGUUCCUGAAUUUGCCAGCCUUCCAGGUUUCUGAGUUGUUGAUAAACACCGCACAGGAGACAUGAGGACAGAACCCUUCAGUGGAGACCUGUUUGGAUAUUGCAGGGGCUUUCUGUGCCCCGCCUAUGCGUGAUUUCAGCGCUGUGGCAUAUUUCAAUAUCAAGAGAAUUACACUCUAUAUACCACCUUGUAUCCUACAUUUUAAUUCAAUGUCUUCUU